rnacentral:rRNA from 1 species
AUUCCCUCAGUAAGGGCGACUGAAGCGGGAAGAGCUCACCGUGUGAAUCGAUAUUUAUAUCGAGUUGUGGUCUGUAGAAGCAUUGUCGGUCGACGUUCCGCGCUAAGUCUCUUGGAAAAGAGCAGCUGAGAGGGUGACACUCCCGUUCUUGCGUGGAAUGUGCGAUCAUGGCACGUGCCUUCGACGAGUCGAGUUGCUUGGGAUUGCAGCUCAAAUGCGUGGUAUACUCCAUGUAAAGCUAAAUAUAGUUAGAAGACCGAUAGCGUACAAGUACUGUGAAGGAAAGAUGCAAAGAACUUUGAAAAGAGAGUUAAAGAGUACCUGAAAUUGCUGAAAGGGAAGCGAAUGGAAACAGUGUGUUUCCGUACCAUUCUUCCUUCGCGACUUGUCGCGGGGGCGCUGUGGUGCGGAGUCGGUCAGCAUGGGUUUGGGUCGGGACAUAUAGCCCUUCAGGAGGCAUGCGUCUUUUCGCAGAUUACUGUUUGGUGUUGUCCUGGCCUGGAUCGAGGCUAGUAUUUCGUGAUGCUGACGAAAUGAUUCUAUUCACCCCGUCUUGAAACACGGACCAAGGAGUCUAACAUAUGUGCGAGUAUAGGAGGGGCAACCUCAUAUGCGCAAUGAAAGUAACAGUGGUUGGACCUUUGGGCACAAUCCGCCGGCC